AUAUAACUAAGCGGAGGAAAAGAAACUAACCAGGAUUGACAUAGUAAGGGCGACUGAACUGUCAAAGGCUCACCGUGUGAAUCUGUGCGUGUAUGCGCACCGAAUUGUGGUCUGGAGGUACUUGCGCUAUUGCGCUGGGCAAAGUCCCUUGGAACAGGGCAGCACAGAGGGUGAGACUCCCGUUUGCCUGGUGCUUCAAGCGAGUGCCAACGAGUCGAGUUGCUUGGGAUUGCAGCUCAAAGUGGGUGGUAAAUUCCAUCUUAAGCUAAAUACUGGUGGGAGACCGAUAGCGCACAAGUA
rnacentral:rRNA from 1 species